rnacentral:rRNA from 1 species
AGCAGAUUUUACCUAUUCCGAAAUCUUAUUUGGAUAACUGCGGUAAUUCUGGAGCUAAUACAUGCAAUAAAGCCCAUCCUUACGGGUGGGUGCAGAUAUUAGUACAAACCAAUCGUCUCUGACGAAGUUUGUUGACUCUGAAUAUCGUAGCUGAUCGACGGUUUACCUGUCGACGAUCGGAGAAGGAGUCUGCCCUAUCAACCAGAUGGUAGUCUAUUAGUCUACCAUGGUGAUCACGGGUAACGGAGAAUCAGGGUUCGACUCCGGAGAGGGAGCCUUAGAAACGGCUACCACAUCCAAGGAAGGCAGCAGGCGCGUAACUUAUCCACUACCUUAGUGAGAUAGUGACUAAAAAUAAAGAGACCAAUCCUUUGGAUUGGUUAUUUCAAUGAGUUGAGCUUAAAUAGCUCUUCGAGGACCCAGUGGAGGGCAAGUCUGGUGCCAGCAGCCGCGGUAAUUCCAGCUCCACUAGUAUAAAUCGUCAUUGCUGCGGUUAAAAAGCUCGUAGUUGGAUUUGAGGCACGUACAGCGGUUCGGCUCUGCCGUUAAUCACUGUUGUGUCUA